rnacentral:lncRNA from 1 species
UAGCUAAUAACAUAGAGAAUUUAAUUUGGAUCGCACUAAUAGGCAAAUUUUACAGUUCCAACCAUGCGAGAAUUUACACAGGAAAAAAUCAAUAAAGAAAUAGCUAAAUUCGUAUGAAAAAAAAUAAUGUUCGUCGUCUCCUUGGGACCAAACCCAUGAAAAAAAUUACAGAAACCAAGUAAUAACACCAAAUAAUCAAGCAAAUUAAGAAAUGCAAAUAACCUGGCAAUAUCACACAAUCUCAAUGACUUCUCUCCAGAUACUUCUCUAGACAAACAUAACAAGGCUGUACAAAAGCCCUUUGGUGAAAUAUAUCCACCCAAUAAUCUUUUACGUUCAAAGAAAAUUAAAUCAUUUACCAUGCACGUGAAAAAAAGAAAAAGGAAGGAGAUAACAAGACAUCAUCGAGAAACCAAGAUCAACCUACUCGAAUUCUCUUCUUAGGAGGGCUCGCAAGAUCGAGAAAGACUGAGGUGAGGUCACGGGGCACAACGUAGAAACCUCUCUGCGGAGGCCCCAAUUUCCUCUUUGCUGGCCGGGGCUUUUUCGGGGCUGGUGGGCACAGAAGCACUGGCUUAAGCAUGUGCUCUUCCGUCUUGGGUGUCACGCACUCAUCCUCCCCACCAUUGGUGGUCUCUGGAGGACCUUCGAUGGGCUCCUCACGAGUCGCAGAUGUCCUUAUGGGUGCAAGUGAACAUAAUUUCCCUUCGGCGAUCUCGGAACCCAUCAAGACAAGAAUUGGCUUCAAGGCCACGCCGAGUGAUCCGAAACAAAUGAAUACAAGAAUUGUAGGCCACAAGGGUCUUUAGAUAGCUUGCCAAUAAUUGGAAUGGUGGUGAUGAUGGAUAUUGGAGAAAAAGAGGGAGUCCAGAAGAGAAGAAUAGAAUUAUGGAGAGAGGUGGCACGUUAAGUAGUCAUAGAAGAAAGAAAGGAGGGGGAAUGCAAAUUAUUGUGCGAAGAAUACAGGGAGAAGAGUUCAGAAAGGGCAGAACUUGGAAAAAGGUAAGAAGGCCAGAGAAUGAUUAAAUGAUAGUGUAAGGCUGCCUUAGCUGCUCGUGUGGGGAC